rnacentral:rRNA from 1 species
GUGGGGAAUCUUGCGCAAUGGGCGAAAGCCUGACGCAGCCAUGCCGCGUGAAUGAUGAAGGUCUUAGGAUUGUAAAAUUCUUUCACCGGGGACGAUAAUGACGGUACCCGGAGAAGAAGCUCCGGCUAACUUCGUGCCAGCAGCCGCGGUAAUACGAAGGGGGCUAGCGUUGCUCGGAAUUACUGGGCGUAAAGGGCGCGUAGGCGGACAGCUUAGUCAGAGGUGAAAGCCCAGGGCUCAACCUUGGAAUUGCCUUUGAUACUGGCUGUCUUGAGUUUGGGAGAGGUGAGUGGAACUCCGAGUGGAGAGGUGAAAUUCGUAGAUAUUCGGAAGAACACCAGUGGCGAAGGCGACUCACUGGCCCAAUACUGACGCUGAGGCGCGAAAGCGUGGGGAGCAAACAGGAUUAGAUACCCCGGUAGUCC